rnacentral:rRNA from 1 species
UACAGAGGGUGCAAGCGUUGUUCGGAAUUAUUGGGCGUAAAGCGCGUGUAGGCGGCUCAGCAAGUCGGGUGUGAAAGCCCUCGGCUUAACCGAGGAAGUGCGCCUGAAACUACUGAGCUUGAGUACCGGAGAGGGUGGCGGAAUUCCCGGUGUAGAGGUGAAAUUCGUAGAUAUCGGGAGGAACACCAGUGGCGAAGGCGGCCACCUGGACGGCUACUGACGCUGAGACGCGAAAGCGUGGGGAGCAAACAGG